rnacentral:rRNA from 1 species
UGCAGAGGUCCCAAGCGUUGUUCGGAUUCACUGGGCGUAAAGGGUGCGUAGGCGGUCGGGUAAGUCUGAUGUGAAAUCUCCAAGCCUAACUUGGAAACUGCAUUGGAUACUAUCCGGCUAGAGGAAUGGAGGGGAGACUGGAAUACUUGGUGUAGCAGUGAAAUGCGUAGAUAUCAAGUGGAACACCAGUGGCGAAGGCGAGCCUCUGGACAUUUCCUGACGCUGAGGCACGAAAGCCAGGGGAGCAAACGGG